GUGGUUGAUCUCACAAUCACUUGUGUGUUGACACUAAUACAAGGAUGUAGGUGCUCAUUAGAAAAUGAGUUCACUAAACUGACCCACAAGAAGAACAUCUAAUGGAGCUUUACAGCAUGUUGAUAAAUGGUUCUCCAAUGGGAGUGGUGCAUGUGAUCCUUUGAUCUGAGAUCACCAUGAUAUCUUGUGUACAUGGAUUCUUACUGUGAUUUAUUUCCUAGCAUGCUACUUUCAGAUGUAUCUAGGAUAUUCUGAGGAUAUUCUGGGUAUGGUGAAGUGUGCAUGAAGGUUAUAAGUGGUUAAUAAGAAAUCGAUCAUUCAUUGUAGGAGGAGAGAACAUCCUAUGUGAUCUCAUAAGAUGAUGACUCUAAGAGUCUCUGGCCAGAGCAGGGAUGAACAGUAAAAAAAAUUUUUACUGGUUCAUUAAUCGAGUCAUCAUCAUCAGAUCGAGAUAUAUAUGGAUAGGUAUUUAGGUUUGAUAUGUUUUCAUGUCUAUGAUCUAUCUGAGAUGUUGUGUGAUCGAAGGAUUGAAUUACAUGGUAACUCAUCACAGAAGAGUAAUUUUGAUAUUUUCAUCAAAUUUUAAGUCUUUCAGAUAAUCAUGAUAUAUUGCUAGACAUCAAUCUUGACUUGUAGACUCAUCAAAAUUAAUAGAGUUUAAUUUAAAAAUUAAUUAGAAAGAGUCUUAGUUGAUUGGAAUUCUUGAGCUAACCUAAUCAAAUCAGAUUAGGGUUAC
rnacentral:lncRNA from 1 species